GAAGAUGGUUCUGCUGCUGUAUGUGCAAGAGUUUGUGCUGAGAAGAGGCAGCUGGGACAAGGCUCUGCCCAGCUCCUUGUGCAGUGUCUGCAUGAUGAGGCAGUGAGUGUGCACAGAGGAUUUCGAAAACUUGUUCUUCAUCCAGCUCCAGGAAUGCUGAGAGUGAGUUCACACAAAAUACUGGAUGUCCUCAAGAAGAGAGAUCUUUCUAACUAAGACUGAAAGGAUGAAGCACUGGAUGUGCCUCAGAAGUCCUCCCUCCUCCAGCUCACUGUGCCACACAUGUGAUGCAGAUGGCAACCAACACUUUUAGUAUCACGACUUUCCAAAUGUUCUCCUCUGCUGCUGCAGGAAUGUUCCAGUGAUCUGCACAAACCUGGCUUCUGUUCCCUGCUGUGUCCUCCUUUCCCUGCCUUUGGUGGGCAUGAGGAGCUGCCUGAUUUCAGUUACUUUGUAGUUUUCAAGCAGGUCUCCCAGAGAAUCACACACAUGUCCUGUUUGCUGUAUUUGUCUCCCAGAGAAUCACACACAUGUCCUGUUUGCUGUAUUUGUCUCCCAGAGAAUCACACACAUGUCCUGUUUGCUAUUUUUUUGGGGGGUGAUACAACUAAAGAAGGGGAGGACGAGAAUAUCUAAUUACUAUUUUUCUUACUGCUCAAGAUAACCUGUUUAUCUUUCAGUCACCUCCUCAAAGGUGACUACAAGUAAGAAUCUGAAGUGUGGCUACUUUACUGGAGCAGCUGAGGUUACCAAAGCCUGUCUGGUGUCUCUCUAGGCUACUGUUCCAUGGCAGUUCUUUUACAGGAAAAAUAAAACAUUUGCUAAAAAUUUAAAUGUAGGAUGAAGUUACUUAAGUAAAUUUGCUGAGAUAAGGCUGGAGUGUUUUAGUGACGAGUUUGGAAGGAGAAUUAAAGAGGAGGGUAAGACACAGACAUCUGAGCAGGCAAACUGUGCCUUCUCUGAGCUCAGGAAUGCCAAGACUUUCUUUUAGCAUAUGGGAAGUUUUAUAAGGACACAGACUGAGGCAGAAAGCAGUGCAAUUCAAAGAUCAUCCAUCUCUUCUAGUGAUAGUAAUUUCUUACCUUUUACGUCUCUGUGAAUCUAAAAGCACUUAGAAAGAAAUUGGUAUAAAUUUUCCCCAUUAGCCCGUCGUCACCUAAUAGCUGACUUAGAGCUUGAACUGGAGGGCUGGGCUGGCAGUCUGGGGAAACACUGGUGCCAGGGGCUUUGCCAGGCUGGGGAGAGGCAACUCCUGACUGGGAUGUGGGUUUGGCACUGAGCUGGUGUUGCUGGAACCUCAGCCUGUUCCCCGGAUCACAGACCAUUGGAGAGCUGGUGUGUUUACAGCAGGUGCCAGUCCUGCUCUUCUCACUCCGUGCAGUGACAGGGAACACAAGGCAGCACAUCAGCUCUGCAGUUUUUCACCAGUUUCCUUAUUUAUUUUGGACUGGCCAAAAAGUGAGGAAGACAGGUUUUGUACAACAAGCCUUUUGCUUUCUUGCAGCUGUACUGAGUGCCUUGGGAAAGCCAGGCAGCCUGGAAAUGAUUGUCUCGGUAGGGUUAUUGCUUUGCAAGAGUGUGGAGUAGAAAAAUCUAGGGUGGCUUUAUUUUAUUAAUUUUUUUUAGCCUCCUAAAUCCGUUGUUAUAAGUUGAAUUUCUCUUAUAGGUCCUAAAUUUACUCAGGAGAUCUGUAAGGGAACCCUUGUAGCUCCUCCUGUGUGUCUGAAGCGUGGGCUGGUUGUUUUUGAAGCAAUAGAAUGUGACAGUCAGAAGCCAGUUAAAAACAAGGGAUUUCAAUACCUGAGCUCAUGUUCCAAGGACUGCAGGCUGAUUAGCUCCUCUUGUCUCCUGGAUCCAAUUACUCACCUGUAAGUAAAGCAUUUCUGAGUCCCCCAAACAGGUUCUGAUAUUAUCAGCGGAUUUAGGCAACUCCAAAUCCUCCCAGUAAUCUGAAGAAGUGGGUUUUCUGUCUUCACCCAAGAGGCAGAUAAAACCUCACCCUCGGUAUGUGCAGUAACACAAAUGUGUGUCACAUCUGCUUUCCUUUUAUAUCUUCUUAUUCCAGUUGACAACAAGAGUCAGAUGUACCAGAUAUGCUUAAUCUGGAAAAGAGUGUCAGCACUAUCAAUUUUUUCUCUGCUUUCAUAUUUCUUGCCCUUUUAAUACUCAAAGCUGCUGAUCUCACUUCUCCUGGCCAUCCUUCUUUUUCCUAUUUCUGUUUCUUUGACUUUAGGCAACUCACUGUGUAUAAACUUGGUUCUUCCAGGAGGAAAAGAAACUACAAUAAUAAAUGAAGUCUGGUAGAUUUUGUGAAGGUGGAAAUAAUGUUUCAGAGGACACGGUGUUUGUGACUGUAGGUACUUCGUGGUAGGUCUGUGUUUAUUUUAGAAGUGUCUUGGUUACUGCUUGCUUUGCUGUUACUUCUUCCAUACUUAAAAAAAAUAACACUAAAAAUGCAGUAAACAGAAGGGUGGCAUUUCAUGGCUUUAAAAAGGAAUUGGAAGAGAAACCACUUUUCCAUACUGAAAACAUUGCAAAAUAACCAUAACAAUAAUAAAAUAUUUGUUCAUCCAAAACAACAGUUGAGAUCAAAAUACCACAAUACUGUGGGGAGGAAAAACUUGGAAUUUGGAAGGUUGCACUGAAUUUUUCCUUUUCUUCUACACCUUAGUUUCCAGGUGGUUGGUUUGUUGCAGGCUGGUAAAACAUCACCUCUGUUCCUGGAAUUUAUUCCUCUUUGUGCUUGUUUCAGUUAAAUCUCCCACGGGAGUGGACACUCCUGCCACAUGUCUACAAGACUGAUCUUGUAGCAGCUUUGUGAAAGGGUGCAGGAACCUUGGGCAAGGUUGGGAAAUGGGAAUUGCAGUAAUGGAGAUGGUUGGUGGCCUGACCAGAGUUUAACCUCCCUGGUCUGUCUCCAUGGUGAUGUUCUGGGAUGUGGCUCAGGAAGCAUUGCAAGGGGUUGCUUUCUGGAGGGUCAAAUUGGAGGUGAUGCCCAAACCACGAACCUGGGAGAGGGUGGGGCAGGGACAUGGGGGGGAGUUUCAGUGAAAAUGGGUUUUCCAGGUUGGGUUUAUGCUUGGCAAUAUUGUAAGGCAAUUACAAGGAGGGCAAGGCCAAGUCCCUGCUGUAGGAGGCCCCUGGUCAGGAGAUCUCAGUAUAAUACCUGGAAGGAAUUGACCCUCGUAUCUCUGGAAAGGAGGAAUUGAAAUCAGGAUGGAAGGAGACACAUUGAGAGCUGAGCUAUUUGUUUCUGAAGGGAGGGGAGAAGAUGAACUUUAGAGGAGAGCAUUCUGUUGCACUGAAAGCAGAACUCCCUAUUUACUUCAGGAGAAAGAACCAGAGAAGUUUUAACAGUGGUGUUUUGUUGAAAAACUAAUUUCUCAUGUUAACUACACAUCUGCAGAACAACCCUUUCUAUAUGACACUUAGAGAUGGCAUGGGCUCCUGAGAUCCCUGGUUUGAAUCAUUACCCCUCUGGAACUCACCCUGGGCCUGAUAUUCCUGACAAGGAUAAACCCAGCUGGUUCAGAGUAGCAGAAACCAACAUUUAUUGCAGUCAGCUAUUGAGUGAUGAUAGUCCUUCCAGUGUUGCUCUCGUUGCCAAAUUUGCUUUCCAAACCCCCUGAGGACAUUGCUGAAUGUGAUUUUUCACACUCCUGCUUUUUGCCACCAUCUCUCACUUACCUUUACUUUCCAAGUGUCAAACUGUUUUCUUUAUCAUUUAGCAAGAACAUUUUGAAUGAAUUCAUAUGGUAAAAGAAAUCUGGCAGGCUCUUCCCAUCUGUUCUGGAGAAAGCUGCAUUCCAGAGGUCGUGGGAUGGGUAUGUGAAAGGGAGAGUAUUUGGUGCAUGUGACAUGCUAUUUUUUUAAAACAGCUUAAGAAAAGUACAUGAAGAAGAAUGCAGAAUUUCAGCUCAUGAGAACUGGCAAUUGAAAUAGCUCUGGGAUCUGUGGGUCAAGAGGAGAACUUGGUGAACUUCUGCAUAGAGGAGAUACUUUCCUAGUGCCACAAGAUGCUUUUCACGUGUCCUGUGCACAGUGCAAGAGAACCAAACGUGUGCAGGGACACUGAGGGGAGAAAUCAGAGAACUGAUUUAGGCAGUGAAAAGCCAAAGCAAAACCAUUGGUUUGAGGGUACAGCAGGGCAGCCUGGUCUGGGCCCAUCUGAGAGCUCCUACACAGGGCUCUUACCUGUUCUAAUCUUCUUCUAAGCAUGAUUGGUCUUACUGAAAACAAGAGGCAUCUACCAAAAAUACUACAAACUUGAGGAAAACUCUUUUUACGGUAAUACUGAGAAAUAUCUCUUUUUAAAAGGAAUUUAUUUCUUGAAGCAAGAUGCUUCAAUGAAACAAAGAAAUGUACAUAUAUGAAAUUAGGUUUGCCUAUGAAGUUGUUGAAUUUAGGCUUUGCAUUAGUUUGAACAUAAAAACAUUCAUAAAGUUCCCUUAGUUUGAGUUUGCUGCUGUUUUCCCCUCCCAUUAUCACCUGGAUUUUUGUUUUCCUUACUGACAGUGUCUCAUUCAUUUGUUCUUGUUCAUGAUCUGUGAGUGCAUUUGGAUUUUACUGUGCAUGCAGAAUUCCAGCUUAUUGCCUUUGAAACACAUCCUGGCUGGAGCCAUUGCAAGUGUAAACAAGGUGCUGAAAGCUGGAGUGCAGAUGGAAUGUGAGGAGUCUGUGAGCCCAGGGACACAAGUCCACUCUGAGAGAGAAGGGAACGGGAUUCCAUUGGUUAUUAUUAGAUAAUUAUUACAUAUAAUUAUAUAGUUAUAAAAUAUGUAAUAUAUUUUAUAUUUAAUUAUGUUAUAUAAUUGUUAUUAUUUAAUCCCAGGCUCCCUUCCAUCUGCAGAGGAGCUGCAGGGGACAGAACAGGCAGGAUGACUUCCAGGACCUGGACACAGGACUCGAAGGAAUGCUGAGUUUGCUGGUAACACCAAAUUGGGAGGAGCUGUUGAUUCCCUGGAGGGCAGAGAGGCCCUGCAGAGAGACCUCAACAAACCAGAGAGAUGAGCCAUCACCAAGUGUUCUCCAGGAGCUCCUGCACGUGCAGCUGAUGUCACCUGACAGCCAAAGCAAACCCUGCACUGGGUGUUUGUUACCCCGAGGGGAGCGAUGGGGUUCAAACACAAACUGGAGGGGUCAGCUGGUUGUGUUGUUGAGCUCAUCAGACAGCCACCCCCAUCACCUUCUGUUCAGAGAAGCUUCCCUGUGGCUGGUUGGUAAAUCAUGUGCAAACCUCUAGUGCCUGGUGGGAGGUGUCUGAGUGUCAGACCUGAACACAACUUGCUCCACUUGGCUGUGCUCCUCUAGAAAGUAUUUACAGAAGUUCGCUCAAAAUAAAUUACAUUCUGAUCACUUCAAGUUAUUGUAAUUGAGAAGAUGGUCAGAGAAGGGCAGGUAGGAAAUUACCAGGAGCUUGGAGGAUUUGAUUAAUAAGGAAAAUCACUAGAAGGUGCAGAGAGUGAUGGAGGGAGAGAUGGAAUAUAAUCCACUAUAAAUAUUUGAAGAACAAUACUCAAGACAGAAGCAAAGUGAAACAGAGAGGUAUGAAAUAAAUGCAAGGAGGAGGCAGGUUCCUGACAGUGAGAUGUUUCAGGUUGUGUGUGCAGCACCUCAGAGGGACACGUGGCCAGUGGCACAUCUUAAAACUGAACCAAGGGGACAAGGAGUGACAACUCCAGCAGGCAACCCUUUGUGGGGAGGCAAGAGAUGAGGAGUGACUUAGCCAUUCCUGGCAGGAUGCAGCACUGAUAACAUGGCUUUGCUGUUUUGAAGUUGAGGCAUCAGGUGGGUGUGCAAAUGGGAACAGGAGAGUUGAGCAGUUUAGAAUCUGUGGAAGGGAACAGCUGGAAACUGCCAAUCCUGAGAUUUCGGGAAAAGUACAGCUUCUGAUUUCAUCUUGAAUUAAAAAAAUGUGCUUUUGUGACAUAAAAUGGAUUUGGAAUUGUGUGUUAGCUGUGAGUGUGUGUUAGAACUGUCCCAGUUGCUCACAGUGCUGUGUGAGAAGUCCCCAGACCACAUUGUAGGAGGAACCCUGUGCUCGUGGGUCUCAGGGUAGGACUGACAACCACUUGCUGACUGCUCAGCACACUUAAUGGAAAACACCUUUCUAAAGCCACUCAAACCACCUCAACCUGCAAACCAGGAGGACUGCAACAGUUACCUGGCAGUGUGUAACUUAUCCUCAGGCUUCUCCACUCCUGGGUGGGGAAGGUCUCCAGCCAGCCAGGCUCCUGGAGAGCCACAGCUCUGCCCUUCCCUCCUUCAGCCACUUCCUCUGAGUUAAUUCCGUGCAGUCAGGCAACACAAAACGAAAUGGAGAAACUCAUGUCUGUCUGUGUGGUCUGUCUUUAUGUUAUAAUGAUUCUCAGUUGUCCAAAAUCCUCGGCAGGAGCACAUCCCAGUAGAUCUAUAGAACUGUCACCAGGAUUUAGUAUAAAUUCAAUAUUGUCAGCAACAAAGAAUCACAGUGCUCUCAUUAUAUUUGACUUCUAGUGGAGCCAUUACUGGAGUCAUGUCUUUUAUUUAUAUUAACAUGUUGUUAACUGUAAGCUAAUAAAGAUGCAAAAUGCCUGAAAUCAAUUAGGUACAGAUUUAAGGAGUGUACAUAAAGGAAAUUUUCUGAUUUACCUUCCCAUUUGUUGAAUACAGACCUUGCAUUACUUUGAACAUGAAAGCAAUCAAUUGACUCUGUUUAAUUCCAUUAAUUAAUUUCUGCAAUCGUUUUCCUUGCCUCUUUACUUCAGUUUAAAAACACCUGGAUCCCAGUUAGAAAAUUCCCUGAAGUCGUAACAAUUUCAAAUUAGGAGGUUUAUUUAAAAAUAUCAUUCGGGCUCUAAGAGCUUAUUAGUUAAAAACUGUUCCAAGAUAAUCUUCAACUUCACAGAAGGAAUUAAUGUUUUUAAAAGUACUUUUGCUUCUGUUUUUCAUUAAUUUUUGUUUGCUUUUUUAUGAAUCUGUAACUUGAGAAGUAUGGAAAGCUUCUUUCUCAAUAAAGAGAACUUUUCAAACAUU